AAACAAUCAAAACUUUCAACAACGGAUCUCUUGGCUGUGGCAUCGAUGAAGAACGCAGCGAAAUGCGAUAACUAAUGUGAAUUGCAGAAUUCAGUGAAUCAUCGAGUCUUUGAACGCACAUUGCGCCCGCUGGUAUUCCGGCGGGCAUGCCUGUCCGAGCGUCAUUU
rnacentral:rRNA from 2 species